rnacentral:rRNA from 1 species
CGAAAGCGGACCGACGCUUCGGAGAGCCUUCACAGGUGCUGCAUGGCUGUCGUCAGCUCGUGCCGUGAGGUGUCGGGUUAAGUCCCGUAACGAGCGCAACCCUUGCCCUUAGUUACAAGUGUCUAGGGGGACUGCCGGCGGGAAGCCGGAGGAAGGUGGGGAUGACGUCAAGUCAGCAUGGCCCUUAUAUCCAGGGCUACACACACGCUACAAUGGUCGGUACAAAGGGCAGCGAAGCCGCGAGGUGGAGCGAAUCCCAGCAAAGCCGACCGUAGUACGGAUAGCAGGCUGCAACUCGCCUGCUUGAAGCUGGAGUUGCUAGUAACCGCGCGUCAGCAUAGUGCGGUGAAUACGUUCCCGGGGCUU